rnacentral:rRNA from 1 species
UACAGAGGGUGCGAGCGUUAAUCGGAAUUACUGGGCGUAAAGCGCACGUAGUCGGCUUUGCAAGUCGGUUGUGAAAUCCCCGGGCUCAACCUGGGAACUGCAUCCGAGACUGCAUUGCUAGAGUAUGGGAGAGGAAAGCGGAAUUUCUGGUGUAGCAGUGAAAUGCGUAGAUAUCAGAAGGAACAUCAGUGGCGAAGGCGGCUUCCUGGCCUGUUCUUGACGCUGAGGCGCGAAAGCUAGGGGAGCAAACGGG